UAUUCAGGACGACCUGAAUAGUGCUUCAGCCUUUUCCGGGACGACCUGG
rnacentral:ncRNA from 1 species